rnacentral:snoRNA from 1 species
UAUUAUGAUGAUACCCAUAUACUAACAACGAAUUUCUUCAACUGAUAAACCAUGAGGAAAAAACUUUGACAGAGCUUUUUAACCCUGAUA